GCAGUGCAGGAGCAGCGGGGUCGACUGACGGUAACUGGGCAGAGAGGGUGUUCGCAGAGCUGCUGAAGAUGAAUGCCAGGGGACUUGGAUCCGAGCUAAAGGACAGUAUUCCAGUUACUGAACUUUCAGCAAGUGGACCUUUUGAAAGUCAUGAUCUUCUUCAGAAAGGUUUUUCUUGUGUGAAAAAUGAACUUUUGCCUAGUCAUCCUCUUGAAUUAUCAGAAAAAAAUUAGUUCCAGCUCAACCAAGAUAAAAUGAAUUUUUCCACACUGAGAAACAUUCAGGGUCUAUUCGCUCCACUAAAAUUACAGAUGGAAUUCAAGGCAGUGCAGCAGGUUCAGUGUCUUCCAUUUCUUUCAAGCUCAAAUCUUUCAUUGGAUAUUUUGAGGGGUAAUGAUGAGACUAUUGGAUUUGAGGAUAUUCUUAGUGAUCCAUCACAAAGUGAAGUCAUGGGAGAGCCACACUUGAUGGUGGAAUAUAAACUUGGUUUACUGUAAUAGUGUGCUGUUCAUGGAAACUGAGGGCUGCAUCUUGUUUAUAGUCGUCUUUGUACUGUAAUUUGAUGUACACAACAUUAAAAGUACUGACACCUGAGAA